rnacentral:lncRNA from 1 species
GCCAUCUUUGCAUGUCUGAGACACAGCCAGUAGUCCCGUCAUUGUCCUCUGACUGAUGCUCUGGUCAGGACCUUCCUUGUGGUCCUGCUCUGAAGAGGCCCUCUCUGCUCUGCAUCAAAUGUACAGGUACUUUGAAGGAACACUAAAUGAAAAGGGAUCAGGAAAUUUAGUUAGAAGAGUUUUUAAAAACCUGGAAAAAAAAAGUGUGAGCUGUCAAAAUGGUGAGUGAAUUACUUUAAUGAUGUAAUAAAAUAUUUUACAAUUUUGACAUAGUUGCC